rnacentral:rRNA from 1 species
UGGUGGAUGCCUUGGCGCGCAGAGGCGAUGAAGGACGUGGCACGCUGCGAUAAGCCAUGGGGAGCUGUGAGCAAGCUUUGAUCCGUGGAUUUCCGAAUGGGGCAACCCACCCGCAAGGGUAUCGUCACCUGAAUACAUAGGGUGGCGAAGCGAACCCAGGGAACUGAAACAUCUCAGUACCUGGAGGAAAGGACAUCAACCGAGACUCCGCUAGUAGUGGCGAGCGAACGCGGACUAGGCCAAUGCCUCAAGUCUUCUAACUGGAACCGUCUGGAAAGUCGGGCCUUAGCGGGUGAUAGCCCCGUACAGGUGUUGAAGGCAUGAGGAUACGAGUAGGGCGGGACACGUGAAAUCCUGUCUGAACAUGGGGGGACCACCCUCCAAGCCUAAGUACUCCUGCGCGACCGAUAGUGCACAAGUACCGUGAGGGAAAGGUGAAAAGCACCCCGACGAGGGGAGUGAAACAGUUCCUGAAACCGGAUGCCUACAAACAGUUGGAGCCCGAAAGGGUGACAGCGUACCUUUUGUAUAAUGGGUCAGCGACUUAAUCUGGCGAGCAAGCCUAAGCCGAUAGGUGUAAGCGAAGCGAAAGCGAGUCUGAACAGGGCGUUCAGUUCGUCGGAUUAGACCCGAAACCGAGUGAUCUAGCCAUGAGCAGGCUGAAGGUGAGGUAACACUUACUGGAGGGCCGAACCCACGUCUGUUGAAAAAGACGGGGAUGACUUGUGGCUAGGGGUGAAAGGCCAAUCAAACUCGGAAAUAGCUGGUUCUCCGCGAAAUCUAUUUAGGUAGAGCGUCGGGCGAAUACUCCAGGGGGUAGAGCACUGGAUGGGCUAGGGGUCCUUACCGGAUUACCAAACCUAACCAAACUCCGAAUACCUGGAAGUACUACCCGGCAGACACACUAUGGGUGCUAACGUCCGUAGUGGAGAGGGAAAAAACCCUGACCGCCGUCUAAGGUCCCUAAAUUGUGGCUAAGUGGGAAAGGAUGUGGGGUCCCCAAAACAACCAGGAGGUUGGCUUAGAAGCAGCCAUCCUUUAAAGAAAGCGUAACAGCUCACUGGUCUAAAUAAGGGGCCCUGCGCCGAAAAUGUACCGGGGCUAAAGCCACAUACCGAAGACGCGGGUGCAUGCUUGCAUGCGCGGUAGCGGAGCGUUCCGUAAGCCUGUGAAGGGUGACCCGUGAGGGCACCUGGAGGUAUCGGAAGUGAGAAUGCUGACAUGAGUAACGACAAACAGUGUGAGAGACACUGUCGCCGAAAGUCCAAGGGUUCCUGCGUAAAGUUAAUCUGCGCAGGGUUAGCCGGCCCCUAAGGCGAGGGCGAAAGCCGUAGUCGAUGGGAACCACGUUAAUAUUCGUGGGCCAGUGGGAAGUGACGAACGCCGAAAGUUGUCAGGGCUUAUUGGAUUGUCCUGGCCGCGUAGGAGUUCCAGGAAAUAGCUCCCACAUGAGACCGUACCCUAAACCGACACAGGUGGACUGGUAGAGUAUACCAAGGCGCUUGAGAGAACGAUGCUGAAGGAACUCGGCAAAUUGCCUCCGUAACUUCGGGAGAAGGAGGCCCCAUACUUGGGCAACCAGGUGUGGGGGGCACAGACCAGGGGGUAGCGACUGUUUACUAAAAACACAGGGCUCUGCGAAGCCGCAAGGCGACGUAUAGGGUCUGACGCCUGCCCGGUGCCGGAAGGUUAAGAGGAGAGGUGCAAGCUUUGAAUUGAAGCCCCGGUAAACGGCGGCCGUAACUAUAACGGUCCUAAGGUAGCGAAAUUCCUUGUCGGGUAAGUUCCGACCUGCACGAAUGGCGUAACGACUUCCCUUUACUAUAGCUUUGCAGUGGCAUUAGUGACGGCAUGUGUAGGAUAGGUGGUAGGCUUUGAAGCUCGGGCGCCAGCUCGGGUGGAGCCAUCCUUGAAAUACCACCCUUACCUUUACUGAUGUCUAACCGCGGUCCGUUAUCCGGAUCCGGGACCCUGCAUGGUGGGUAGUUUGACUGGGGCGGUCGCCUCCCAAAGAGUAACGGAGGCGCGCGAUGGUAGGCUCAGGCUGGUCGGAAAUCAGCUGUCGAGUGCAAUGGCAUAAGCCUGCCUGACUGCGAGACGUACAUGUCGAGCAGAGACGAAAGUCGGUCAUAGUGAUCCGGUGGUUCCACGUGGAAGGGCCAUCGCUCAACGGAUAAAAGGUACGCCGGGGAUAACAGGCUGAUCUCCCCCAAGAGUCCAUAUCGACGGGGAGGUUUGGCACCUCGAUGUCGGCUCAUCACAUCCUGGGGCUGGAGCAGGUCCCAAGGGUUCGGCUGUUCGCCGAUUAAAGUGGUACGUGAGCUGGGUUUAGAACGUCGUGAGACAGUUCGGUCCCUAUCUGCCGUGGGUGUAGGAAAAUUGAGAGGAUCUGUCCCUAGUACGAGAGGACCGGGAUGGACAUACCUCUGGUGGACCGGUUGUCGCGCCAGCGGCACAGCCGGGUAGCUAUGUAUGGACGGGAUAACCGCUGAAAGCAUCUAAGCGGGAAACCCACCUCAAAACCAGUUUUCCCUUGAGAGCCGUGGAAGACGACCACGUUGAUAGGCCAGGUGUGGAAGUGCGGCAACGCAUG